rnacentral:rRNA from 1 species
ACGAACGCUGGCGGCAUGCCUAAUACAUGCAAGUCGAACGAACACUUCGGUGUUAGUGGCGCACGGGUGCGUAACGCGUGGGAAUCUGCCCUUGGGUUCGGAAUAACAGUUAGAAAUGACUGCUAAUACCGGAUGAUGACGUAAGUCCAAAGAUUUAUCGCCCAAGGAUGAGCCCGCGUAGGAUUAGCUUGUUGGUGAGGUAAAAGCUCACCAAGGCGACGAUCCUUAGCUGGUCUGAGAGGAUGAUCAGCCACACUGGGACUGAGACGCGGCCCAGACUCCUACGGGAGGCAGCAGUAGGGAAUAUUGGACAAUGGGCGAAAGCCUGAUCCAGCAAUGCCGCGUGAGUGAUGAAGGCCUUAGGGUUGUAAAGCUCUUUUACCCGAGAUGAUAAUGACAGUACCGGGAGAAUAAGCUCCGGCUAACUCCGU